rnacentral:lncRNA from 1 species
AAAAGGAAACCCUUCAUGUGUGGAGUAGAAAUAGAUAGAGUGCCCAUCAAAGGGAAGCAAUAUUAUAUAAUGGAGCUAUGAAAGCGAGAGAUAAUGUAGUGAGAGAACAACAAAAUGAAAAAGGUUGGUAAAAGAAAGAUGAGAAAUAAAGAGGACAUGAAAAGAGUUCGGCUGCAUAGUAGGGGAUACCACAUCGGUAGAUCAAAGAGGAAGAAAGUAAAGAUAUUAAAAAGUAAAGCAUGGGAAAUUGCAUGUGACAAUUUUUAAAAAGAAACUAGUGGAAGAAAGUGAGGUGCUAGGAUUGGAAAAAAAAAAAGAAAAAAAAAGGAGAGAAUAAUGUUGUGAUUGAAGGAAAAUAAUGACAAAGGAAGGUGUCUAUGAGGAAAUAGACAGACAGAGAAAGGGAUGUAUAUUGGAAAGAGGCCAAAGGUAGAAAGAAAUAAGCAUAAGGGUAAAAGGGAAGGAGAUAGAAAAAUAAAUAAUAAACACCCAACGGGAAAGGCUAGAGUGACAGAGAUGAAGCGAUGACGUGGGGAAAGAACACAACAAACACCAGCCAUUGGGCAUAGACAAACAAAAGAGAUAAACUUAAAUAAAAGAGAGCUAAAUAGAGCAAAGAGAGAACCAUAGAAAGGGUGCUCAAAACUGAGAAGCGGAAAGGCAACUCAAGAGAGCAGCCUACAGAGAUUGGCAAAACAGUCAAAGGAAAGGCUCUGCGAGCGGUGACGAGGCUCGAGGAGGAAAGCAACGGCUUGGUGAGCCGUGACGAGGCUCAUGGAGGAAAGCAACGGCUCGGUGAGCGGUGACGAGGCUCACGGAGUAAAGAGACUUGUUAUGAAGCUUUAAAGAUAGAGAAGCUGAGACAUCAAGAAAGACCAUCUGGCAUACAAAGAUGACAAAAUAAAAUUUUUGGAAUAGUAGCAAAGAAGCAUGUGAAGGCUAGGUGCGGUGAAAACACAUAUGAGAGGAUGAACAAAAGAUGGUGACUAUACAAGCUGAAGACCUAUGAUGGGUUAGGAAUGAGGAGUGCCAACGACUCUCAAUUUGGCAGAGGUUAUCACAAGUUAGGAACCUGACUCUGAUACCAUGUCAAACAAAGUAGGGAAAAUAUUUAGAUAUGCUCCGAGAUAUGCUCUUUUUUUUUUUUUUUUUUGGGUGUGCUAAGAUACGCUCAUAUUAUUAUUCUUCUCCAAUAUGAAGGUAUUUAUAC